AUACUUUCAGAUGGGGGGAGCCUCAUUUUAAAGAACAAGUAUUUGAAUAGCACAGCCAGAUUUCAUACGUGGAGAAGAUUUCACUGAUCAUCCCAAAUUUAUACUUUCUAAAGAAGCUGGAUAAUUUAAAAAUGUUUGGCCCUGAUCUAACUUCUACAAGGGAAAAAGAAUUCUAGGAACCUCCGAAGAGGUCUUAGAGCUACUGAUGUAUUUGUGCUGCCUGAUUUCUGUUGUGCCAAGGAUGAGAACUCCCUCAUGAUGAGCAAGGAAUCCUUAUCCCGUUGGGCUUUGCAGGUGUUUGAAUGUAGCAGUAGAGAAGAACGUAGUGAGAAGUCCCACAGCAAAGUGGAGGGAAAAUCUAUUAGAAAAUGAACAACAAAACAACUCAGCACAAGUAGCACCAGCUUGAUAAAAUGGUGGAAGAAGUGUGAUGGGGCAGAGCUGCUGUUAGGUGGGGACUUGAGGCCUGAGGAGCCUACUGUGAUGGGAGGACUUAGAAGACAUAAGCCCAAUGUUCUCAAUUUCCAGUAAACUGGAUCAGUCAAUAAUUCAUUUUCCUUGGGUA
ensembl:lncRNA